GUGGGUGUAGCUCAGUUGGUAGAGCACUGGGUUGUGGCCCCAGUUGCCGUGGGUUCGAGUCCCAUCAUCCACCCCA
rnacentral:tRNA from 1 species